GGAAGAAAGAGAUAAAAACAAGAACAAGGUUAUGGAAGAAGAUGAGUUAUUGAGCUGGGGACUGAAGGAUGUAGUAUAUUUGGAGAUUAAAGGAAUGAGAAAGGAAAGGAAUGUAUAGAGGACAAAUAUAAGACGGGUAAUAAAGGUGAAAGGAUGAGGAAAAACUGGUACAGAGAGAAAAUUACCUGAAAACGAAAAGAUUGAGAAGUUGUGGAAGGGAAAAAAAGAUAGGUCAAAAUAAGAGGGUAGUAACAGAGGAGAGGGAUUAAGAAAAGGAAGGAAAUGGGAGCAUGGAGAAAGAGAGCAGAAAAGGAUGACAAAAAAGAUAGAGGAAAAGAAUAAAGAAGUCGGAAGACCAAAAGAAAAUAGCCAAGAGAAGAAAGAAUGGAGAUGGAGGACAUGAAGGGGCAGAGGGAGGUGACGAUGAAGGAGCAGAGGGAGGUGAUGAUGAAGGGGCAGAGGGAGGUGAUGAUGAAGGGGCAGAGGGAGGUGAUGAUGAAGGGGCAGAGGGAGGUGAUGGAAAAGGAAGUAGCAGAGAGAAAAAAGAUAGGGAGAGGGAGAGGUUGAAAAAAGAUGAGAUAAUUGACUGAAGAGUAGGACAAAUAGAGGAAAUAGAGUGUCAGGCUGAGAGAUCAGGUUCAGACUGAAUAGGAAGGGGGAGAGGAUACGGAAGAGAAGAGGGGGUUGAGUUGCAGAACGAAGAAUGAGAUGAAAUGUAGAUGUAAAGCAGAAGAUAAAUAAGGACAGAAUGUAAAAAUAAAAGAAGUUUAUUAUGAGGAAGAAAUUGAGAGGGGGAUAUAGAAAAAUUAUGACAAAGCCAGAAGAUGGAAAAUGAGGAAUUGGAUGAGGAGGAGAUAAAGACAUGCAGAAGUGAAAGAAGAGUAGAGACAGACCACACACAGAGAGUGAUGGAAGGGCAUACAAAUAGAGAAAAGGGAAUGGAGCUGUCAUGGUAAAAAGUGACCGGGUGCCAAAAAGAGCCCGGGUGAUAUAGGUAAUAUUGGCUUUCG
ensembl:lncRNA